UCAUAGAGUAGAGGUUGCGUUGAUCAAGAGUAAUCAAGCCCGAUGUGGCAGGCACAGGGGAGGGUUUGAUGAAAGGGAAAGACGCCGAAGAAGGAGAACGCCUGAAUCAGUUAUCCUUCUGGGCACAUGGUGAACAACCAUGUGACUGUCAUCCGGGUGGAUGGAGAGCUACCAAAGAA
rfam:Clostridium sp. FS41 CLFS41_contig000074, whole genome shotgun sequence.